CAACGAAGACUGUAAUGUAAUAUUGAUUAAAUGGAAAAGUUAAAAUCUAAAUCAAUAAAAUUUUAGUUGAAAUGUCUUACCAAUAUUUAAAAUCAAGAACUGUUAUGGAAUUGAAAGCACUACCUGUCAUACCUUUCAAAAAACUAAAGAGAUGUUCGAGUAUGUCUUGAUUAAGUUUUCUUGUGAUUUGACUAGUUUUCAAAAGUUUUAACUUGCAUCUUUCCAAUUAUCAAGAUUAAAGUAUCCAAGCUCUCCACAAAAGGCUAUUGCUUUGGAUACAGAAUUUGAAAAUGUCUGGGCUGCUAGCUUAACAUUCAUCCGUGAUGUCCCUUMAACCAACAGAUGACGAUCAGUAAUUUUGUAGGCAAUUUUAAAAUCAUGGUYUUUGUUUAUUUUAAUUAAGUCUUCUAAAAUAUUUUUCCCAAUAAGUUUGUUGUUUGGCAAAAUAAAGCCUCUGAAAAAUUA